AUUGAACGCUGGCGGCAUGCCUUACACAUGCAAGUCGAACGGUAACAGGUUAAGCUGACGAGUGGCGAACGGGUGAGUAAUAUAUCGGAACGUGCCCAGUCGUGGGGAUAACGUAGCGAAAGCUACGCUAAUACCGCAUACGAUCUACGGAUGAAGGCGGGGGAUCGCAAGACCUCGCGCGAUUGGAGCGGCCGAUAUCAGAUUAGGUUGUUGGUGAGGUAAAAGCUCACCAAGCCUGCGAUCUGUAGCUGGUCUGAGAGGACGACCAGCCACACUGGAACUGAGACACGGUCCAGACUCCUACGGGAGGCAGCAGUGGGGAAUUUUGGACAAUGGACGCAAGUCUGAUCCAGCAAUGCCGCGUGCAGGACGAAGGCCUUCGGGUUGUAAACUGCUUUUGUACGGAACGAAACGGUGAGCUCUAAUACAGUUUGCUAAUGACGGUACCGUAAGAAUAAGCACCGGCUAACUACGUGCCAGCAGCCGCCGUAA
rnacentral:rRNA from 1 species